AGUAGGGAUUCCAACCCAACUCUGGCUCCAGACCCGACGCAGUUUCCAUGCUAUCAGCCUGCCUUCCGUGAAGAACAAGUGAGGUAGGCAGUCUGGACAACUUAAGAAGAGGAUGUGGCACCUCCCAUGAGGCAGGCCUUCGGGGGACCCUCCCAGCAGGGCCCCAGACCCAUUCCCCAGGAAGGGCAGCCAAGGCCAUGAAGGCAGGUGGCGCAAGGGGAAGCUGGUUGCUUCAGCCUGGAGUCUCUCCACUUCCCCAGUCCUCGGUGAUUUCCCAACACUCAUGAGUUUCACAUCUGCCAUCUCUGGCUGGAGGGUUCCAGAAGUUCCGGGGGCAGGGCUAGUUGGUGUCCAAGAAGGGCUCAGGACUCCAGGAAGAUCUGAUGACCCUGUGCAAGCCAGCUCACUUGGCCCAGCCACAGGCUCCACACCUAUGAAGUGGGCAGUCAGGAGCGUAGCCUCAGGGGAUAGCACACAGCAGAGGGGAUGCCACAUCGAGGAAGGCUGGGGCCAACUCACAAUGAUCCGCCAAAGAGCAUCAGUCUUGGCUUCAGGCAUGAAGCAGAGCAGGAGUGGGGAGCAGGCUGCACUCUCCAAGGGCGAGCUGUGGGCCCAGGAAGCGCACACGUGCCACUGAGGGGGAGAGACUUGCGACCAGCAAGCCCAGCAGCCCAGCGUGGAUCCCGUCCGUGACAGCUCUCGGCACAUUCAAUCCUCACAGAAGCCCUAGGAGCAGGUAGAUGGCAAUGCUCCCAUUCUAUAGACGCUGAGACCAGAAUUCCCUUGCCCGAGUUCCUACAGCUCGUCAGCAUGGAGCAGGAGUAUGCCGACGCAGGGCCAGGUGGAUUUCCGUCUGCUCUGCCGUUAUGACUUGUCCCUUCGGUCUCGGCAAGUCACUUUGCCCUUGACUUUCAGUCUGGACGUUCCUGCCUCACCUGUGGCCUUGGCGUGUGCGGCCUCCACACGACUUCUGAUGUUGGCUGCAUUAUCUGCCUUGAUGAUAUCAGUGCCCUGACCUCCAGUUUAUAUCUGACCUCCCAGAUUUUUCACCCAGACAGAGUGCAUCAUCCAAUACAGUGUCCUGGGAGAGGCGCCUUGUUUGGGCUCCUUCCUGUGCUGUCAGAGCUUCCUCCCCAGGGGCAUGUUCCUGGAACAGACAAUGGGCACCUUACAAGGAGUGGGUUAGGGGUCUGAGGAAAAGAAGAUGCAUCUAGAACACAUAAUUUAUCUAUCUUAACCCUUCCGUGAGACCUCGAGGGUUUGGAGAAAAGAAAUAUUUGAAUCUUAUGUGUGUAAUAUCAUGGGAUCCUUAUGACUGCUUUUUGUGACAAGGAAAUAGAGGCAAAUAUACCCAUUUUACAGAUUGCAGAGAAAAAACAAAUGCCUGUCCAAGGCCUCGCAGAUAAUCAGGGGUAGAAUGUGGGAUCUGAAACCAAACCUGGUGGACGCUCAGACUCUUUCCACUGAGAAAUAUUGUUUCUAAGGAAGGAAAUUUCAGUAAGUGAAUAAUCAGUCUUUUUUACCCAGAACCAAUAUUUAUUAGGCUACGAAAGAAAGGGUAUUUUGUCUCCCAAAGUAAUGAUUCUUGGUUUGCAUACAUUUUCCUCUCCCGCAGGUAGGGAGGCACCUGCUUCGGGUGACGGGCCCAGCUGGGUCAGGCUGAGCAAGGCUGCCAGGUGGGAGUGGCCGAGGAGAAAAGGAAACUAAGGGGGGAAUAUGGCAAUAUGACCGUCCCUCGUUCACUCCAGCCUGGGGCCCUGAAGAAGCCUGCCUCUCUCUGUUGUGGAAACCCUUGGCUUCUCCAGAUCUGGUUCUCAAAGCUGUCCUUCUGUAUAUACAAAUAUGCAAAUGUACCCUGCUAGUAAGUUACCCUGUUGCUCAGGUAGCAUAGAGUUGGAUUCUGCUGCUCACAACAUGCCUUAGUCCAUUCAGGUUUAUAUAAUGAAACACCACAGGCUGGGUGGCUUACAAACAAUAGAAGUUUGCUUUUCACGGUUCUGGAGGCUGGAAGUCGAAGAUCAAGGUACCAGCAUGACUGGGUUCUGGUGAGAGCCCUCUUCCCAGCACACAGCCAGCACCUUCUCACAAUGUCCUCACGUGGUAGAAAGGACGAGGGAGCUCCCUGGGGUCUGUUUCGUCAGGGCACUAAUCCCACUCACAGGGGCUCCAUCCCACGACCAAAGCCCUUCCUAAAGGCCCCGCCUCCUAAUACCGUCACACACACACAUAGGGUUUCAACAUAUCAGCUUUGGGGGGACACACACAUUCUGACCAUAGCACAACAAAAAAUCCACAGGUCUUCCAGGAUACAUGUUCCAUUCUUCUUCAAUUUACAAAAAAAAAAAAAAAAGAAAGUCAAAAGGAAGGCAAGGGGUGGCCUGGAGUAAGGAA